rnacentral:sRNA from 1 species
AAAUAGCCCUGAUAGAAGCGAUAUCCUUUUUGUUUUUUCUUUAAAAAUAAAAAGAUACAAGCGGAUAGCAGGAAUAGCU